UGUAAACGCAUACUUGAGACACAUCAGAUCAGACGACUGACUCUUCAGACUCUUCCUGUGAAAAUGGCUCAAAUUCUUGGAGGUUACUCUGAGAUCAAGUUGGCUGCUCCGGAAACUCAGAAGAUUUGUGAUGAGGUGAAGCCUCAAGUGGAGGAAAAGACCGCGAGCAAUAUGAAGUCUACAGUGCACGUUGGUACAGGAGUCAGGUUGUGACAGGAAGGAACUACGUUAUAAAGGUUCAUGUGGGAGGAAGUCACUACCUUCAUCUGAUGGUGUACCAAAACCUCUCAGGAGAGGUCACGUUUAAGGGUGUGAAGAAGGCAGAGGAACCCCUUGAGCCUUUCUAAUGAUAAA